CUGUAGCCAACUUCUCUGCAUCACACAGCCAGUGGUCGCACAUGAAGUUGAAUAUAUCAUAACCAGAUCUAGGAUCUCAAUAUACUCGCUGGAAGCAUUUUUAUAUGCCUUUUCUGCGAGUGCUGGUAAAAACAAAUCUUUUCGUGACCAGCGACAGUAGGCCUGUUCACAGAGAUACAGUAAGUAUAACUCGUUGACAAAAAUAGGGUUAUUUUGUACAGUUUGUGACUGAUGACGAGAUGGUGGUAACGCAAGCCCUGACAUCACAUUUUCUCAUGGGUGAAAACCACUGAUGAUGAUUUUACUGUUUUUACUGCUUGCUGAAACCCCCGAGAUGUGAAAGUGCUUGAUAUCUCUGCAUCCUCUUCCCUCCUCUUUCUCUCUCUCUCUUGAUGUUGUACCCUCUCUCUAAUCUAGGUGAAUGUGAUAGUACCUGUAGUUUGGUAGAUGGAUGUACUUUGAUAAAAAAAAAAAAAAAAAAGAAGAUAAUAGAAUAAAUACAUUAUGUGGUUAAAUGUGAUUUUAAGAGACAUAAGACUAAAGAAAGGAACACGUCUUACGGACCCAUCCGCCCAGUCUCUUUUACAGAGUAGUUUGUACAUGUCGAGUGUAUAACACUGUACUAUGAUGGUUUUCCUGAUGGUAUUUGUAUUUCUGUAUACACUUUGGUGAUCCUGUCAUAUCUGGGUUUUAUAAACCACGCUUAUUUUUAAAACUCUC